rnacentral:rRNA from 1 species
AUGGCGGCAUCGAACUCGUACGAGGAGCAGCGCCGUAGGCAGAUGGAGGACAACCGCCGGAAGCUCGACGAGCUCCGCCUGCACCAUCUCUCCGCCGCCGCCCGCGAGGCCGCCGCCAGGCCCAAGCCCAACCCCAAGCCCAGGCCGAAGCGCAAGGCCCCGGAGCCCGGCGAGCUCCGGCGGUCCGGCCGCGUCGCCGGCCUCCCGGAGCAGCCCAACUACCUCAAGGGCGACUACCGUGGAGUGUACGAGGCGUAUGCCGCUUCGAAAACACCGACCGACGAGGAGAGGGCCGGCGCCGUCGCCAAGGCCGAGGAGCUCCAGCGCCGGAUCCACCGCAUCCGCUGGCCCGCCUUCGUCAAGCCCAUGAGCCACGAAUGCGCCACCAGGUCAAUCCUGAUGCAAUUCCCCAAGCACUUCAUCAAGUAUCUACCGGCGCACGAUGAGGCAGCCGUCCUGGUGGACGAGGCGGAUGACGAGUUCCACAUGAUGUACAAUGCCCACAGAAAGGGCAAACACUGUCACUACUAUCUCGACAAGGGGUGGAGACGGUUCGCUGCCGACCAUGACCUUGCCGAUGGCGAUUGCUUGGUUUUUCACAUGACACAGAGGGCAAAGUUCAAGGUCUACAUUUUUAGAGCAAGCCCAGACUAUGAAAGCGACCAAACUUCUGAUGACUCUGAGGAUGAAGAGUAA